rnacentral:piRNA from 1 species
UAGCGGAGCGACGAUAUCGAAGGCGAGAU